UACGUAGGGUGCAAGCGUUGUCCGGAAUUAUUGGGCGUAAAGAGCUCGUAGGCGGUUUGUCACGUCGGAUGUGAAAACCCGAGGCUUAACCUCGGGCCUGCAUUCGAUACGGGCUGACUAGAGUUCGGUAGGGGAGACUGGAAUUCCUGUGUAGCGGUGAAAUGCGUAGAUAUCAGGAGGAAUACCGGUGGCGAAAGCGACUCUCUGGACGGCAACUGACGCUGAGGCACGAAAGCGUGGGGAGCAAACAGG
rnacentral:rRNA from 1 species